AUUGAACGCUGGCGGCAUGCCUAACACAUGCAAGUCGAACGGCAGCACGGCAGUAGCAAUACUGUGGGUGGCGAGUGGCGGACGGGUGAGGAAUACGUCGGAAUCUGCCCAGUCGUGGGGGAUAACUAGCCGAAAGGUUAGCUAAUACCGCAUACGACCGAGAGGUGAAAGCGGGGGACCGCAAGGCCUCGCGCGAUUGGAUGAGCCGACGUCGGAUUAGCUAGUUGGUGGGGUAAAGGCCCACCAAGGCGACGAUCCGUAGCUGGUCUGAGAGGAUGAUCAGCCACACUGGAACUGAGACACGGUCCAGACUCCUACGGGAGGCAGCAGUGGGGAAUAUUGGACAAUGGGC
rnacentral:rRNA from 1 species